UCGAGGAAAAGUAGGCGAUGCAUCUCAAGCAGGCCGCGUAUUCGCCGUGGCAGUUGGCUGCUGCGGUCGCUUUCUCGCUUCGUCUCGGUGCAGCGAUAUGGCGAUCUACUGCUAUUGCACAGCGGAUUGUUCCGCUGGAAUCUAGUGUGUGUGUGUUUGUGUGUCUUUACCGGUUCGUUGGAGAAGUUGGCACCGCUAAAUAGAAACCACAUCGGCUGCUGGACGGCUGUAACUCUCUUCCGUUACAGUCCUGUGACGGUGUAAUGGAUAGAGCGUACCGCGCAUACGACGGAGUCGUGUGUUUACGAUCGCAGUUAAAAAGUGCGGCGGAGGUAAUUGAUACUAGCCCUAAAGAGGGGGCACAAAGAACCUGUUGAACAUCGUCGCGAAAGAAUUCUGUCGAGGGAGUGCCAGCCAACAACGCCACAAAGCCAUCAAACAGUCAUGAUUCAGCACCGAUGCAUGGGAACCACUAGCACUAUAGCGCUCGAGGAAGUAACCGUUUUGCGUCGCUUACGUCGUUUAUGUUCACCACCACACUGUGCGAAGCGUACUGCUGGUAAUCCUCUCCAGCCUUAAUCUCGGUUUCGUGCAUCGCCAACGCUUGGCAGGUUCCCUCUUGGCAUGGCCCUUUUUUGCAACCAACCACCACGAACCGCUGUACUGCCGGCACAGCCAAAGUGUACGUGUCGUGACAACUUGCCUCAACGACACGCCUGCGUCAUCGGGCAUCGGGAGCAUAAUCAAUCCUUUUAUGUACACUGUCAGUGUGCUCGUCUGACCAGAGUGUGAUUAAUUAUAUCAUCUAUCUUGCACACAUGAUUGUGCACCCUGGAAGCCCCCCCAUUAGAAUAGCGUCGAAUGUGGUGCCUACGACGUGCUAGACGGGAUGAAAGCGCCAACGUCGCAUGCAUAAUCUUAUAUUGCUAUAUUUAUUCACGUGCUGAGAGCAAAAUCAGGCCAUGACUCACUGCGGCCAUGUGUCUAGCGUCCUCUGUAAUGAAUGAUUUCACUUUCAUCGGAACGGGUCGAAUGGUUUGUGUGGUGGCGUCGCGGUCGUCGCAGUAGAGAAAGUUUGUUUCCAGAAGCACCCACUUCUUGCUGAGGAUGCCCACAAAUUAACGUAUUGUGCAAUCGCGAAGCAAACGAGUUACGAUGAUGUGUUCAUUAUGGAUGAUUUUAACAUUGCAGUGGAAUGUUAUAAAUGGUUUUUAAUGUUUGCCUUUUACCGUUCAGCACUACCGAAGAAGCAUCGUGUGUUUGCAAUGCUCAUCACAAUGGCAAAUUUCGAUGCAGAACGUACCUUUCACUAUACCAAUCGAUACCCACACCCACCCGUUUUGUUUGUUUCGCCAUUUUUUUUUUUUGUAUCCACUUAACCCAAAUGAGCGGCCAUAUUCCAUGUGCCCAAUUCUCUGUGCCACGGUGCGAAUGGGUCGAGAGGAUCGAACGCUGUCAAACUGCUCCUGCCGACCCAGACGACACCGUCCACUGCUCGCCGUGCCUAACGAUCCAUGCUGGUCGGCCGCACGUGAUUCCCAACUCGGCAUUAAAUUUGUUUCGCACACUGCAACCGAAACACGGCGCCGUCCAUCAAGCCGUUUGAGCGAACACGUGCUUUCAAAGCAUUUACCCACCUCAUUCCUGCUUGCCUGCAUCCGGUGUAAUAAAGCGUGGUGGCCACACUCGACGCGAACCCUCCCUUCGAAGCGAAACCAAAUGCAAUGAAAACAACAAAAGCGCUACUUUAAAACAACAGUGAGCCAGAUAGUUGCACAGAAAUUACUACACAUACGUUUGCGGAUGAUAUGCGCGAGGUACCGCCGGGGAAACGCAAACGGUACGCGCUUGUUUAAAUUGAACAUUACGCAAAGCAAAACGUGCGCGCCAAAAACCGUUCCGCCGCGCCCUCCCCAAAACUGAACUGACGGUGUAUGCCGGCAGCCGAUUUGUGACCAAUGGAACGUAAACACCAGGCCCGAACCGUGAUCAGCGUAUGCAAACCCGAUCGAUGAUUGCGUCGGUCAAAUUUGCACGGCUCGAUUGAAUCAGUUGAUAAAUGUACGCUGCUUACCGUACCGAUUAUGUUCAUCCGCGUCACGGUUUGACACCUCGUGUGUACCCUGGGGGCAAGGUGGUGGUGGUAUUUUGUAAAGUGUUUCGUUUCCUUUUGUUGUUGCAUAAAAUGGUUCACUUUACUGUGAGCACAUGUCACAUUAAAAUGCUUACCAAAUUUAGUAACAAUAGAAUGUGUGCGAGUGUGUCCACUUUGCGUUAUGUUGCGUUUCGCGUUACCAAGAAUGUUCUACAUUCCUUUGGCAAUUGCGUUGGUGUUUUGCAACCGUUUGAGUACUAUUAAGCGACAACAAUGAUGCAUACGCGCAGUUUCGCAGAUGUAUGCUAAUUGCUUCUGGCAGCGCUUGACUCAUACAUAUGCCUCUCCCUUCUCCUGUUCUUUUUACCCCUCCCAUCUAAAAAAACGGUGCUUAGUGUUCACAGCUCAUUAGCAGCAUUAAACACGUAUUACGGCACGUCACGUCGGGCAAAAUGUGUUUCAAUGUCAGAUGGACAAAAGCUUAGGGGCAGGAGAAGAAAAAAACAACAACAACAUCACACUUUCAAUUUCGUUCACUUUCCGUACGACGAACUGAAUGUGUGCAAAGAUAGAAAGAGAGAUAGAGAGAGGGGAUACCUGUCCAGAGUUGGCGGUUAGAUUCGAUUUGAGGGAUUUUUUUCGUAAAUUGUUGGUGGUAGCGGACAGUGAAGUUUUUUUUCCCAAACACAGUGGAACGGAAGGUUAAUUAUGCGCUUAGGCUUUCGAUGUGUGCCACCGGUGAAAAGGUUUAACGAGACUCGCCUUCUACUGCACAAAACACGAUGGGGGGCACCCUACGGUGUGACGGUUUGGAAGAGAAAUUUCAGGGUUGUGUUUCGAGGUUGCUGUUCUCGUUUUUUUUUUUUGGUUCGUUCCAGCGGUAACCUUCGAUUAAGCCCACACACUCACUCAAAAUGCGCCCUUUUUGCUAGCAAUCAUUACUGACAAACGAGGAUACCAUUUAGGAUCUUAGGUCUGUAGAGCUUCAGCACAGAAGACCAAAAGUCAAUUAUUCCACGCGCCCGUACCGAUAAGGUUCCAGCGACGCUGCGCAAAAACUCAAUUUGCAUCACACCAUCACCCGAACCGAACUGGUGCGACUCCUUCAACUGAGACAUUAGGAAAAAUAAGCACGUCUUCAAAGUGUUUCUUCUAUCAAUGGAGCUCGGAUCAAUUAUGCAGUACAUUCGCGUUCGGCGGUGAUGGGUCUACCAAACCCCCGGCGCACUUCACACGCCCAGCGGUAGCCUGUCAAGAUUGCUUCAGAUAGUGCAUACAUUUUAGCUAAAUACCUACGGCUACGGUUGGAUGCAUGUGGGCAUUAUCAUCUCCUCAUCGCUCAUAACUGCACCUUCUCCCGUUUGUAGAGACGUAGAUAUCUAUUAUUUUCUCGUUGCCCUGCCACGGUAACGACCUCUGCAGCGACCGUCAUAUCACAUCUUCCAUAUCGUCCGUUCCUUUACCGUUCGCUCGGAAUUUCGGUUUCGCAAAUGGCGUACGCUUGUGUUACGAACCGUGCACCAAACGAUGGAGCUGCCGGUGGAAAGGCACUAAACAGUGCUCUUAGAUUACCCAUUCGAUUCAGUUUCAGCAAGUGACGAUGAUGCGUGCUAAAGUGCGCCAGUUUGCAACAGUUUGCAGCGAAGAACGCCGUGAGAAGCUACCGCGACCUACCCGCUGCAUUGAUGGAGGCUGAGAAACGUAACGGCUUCUUCACAUGUGAGACUGUGGGUUCACAUGCAUGUAGGAGAGUGGCUCCCACUUCGCUUCGCUGGUAGUUAACCGUUGCGUAAAGAUGAAUUGUCCGCGCGACCCAUUAGCGGACCUUCACGGGGGUGUUUAUGGUCGAUUUCUUCAGAGAAUCGCUGGGAUGCUUUCGAUCAGAAGCGGAUUAACUCCAACCAACCAUUCACCUGCACCGGGUGUACUGCUAUUUAAGUUAAGCAAGAGUUUGCAAAGACCUUUUUUAAAUGAAUUAAUAAUAAAGUGCGGCAUGUGCUUCAUGC